UACGUAGGGACCAAGCGUUGUUCGGAUUUACUGGGCGUAAAGGGCGCGUAGGCGGCGCGUUAAGUCACUUGUGAAAUCUCUAAGCUUAACUUAGAACGGUCAAGUGAUACUGAUGUGCUAGAGUGCAGAAGGGGCAACCGGAAUUCUUGGUGUAGCGGUGAAAUGCGUAGAUAUCAAGAGGAACACCUGAGGUGAAGACGGGUUGCUGGGCUGACACUGACGCUGAGGCGCGAAAGCUAGGGUAGCAAACGGG
rnacentral:rRNA from 1 species